rnacentral:rRNA from 1 species
GACGAACGCUGGCGGCGUGCCUAAUACAUGCAAGUAGAACGCUGAAGCUUGGUGCUUGCACCGAGCGGAUGAGUUGCGAACGGGUGAGUAACGCGUAGGUAACCUGCCUGGUAGCGGGGGAUCACUAUUGGAAACGAUAGCUAAUACCGCAUAAGAGUAGAUGUUGCAUGACAUUUGCUUAAAAGGUGCAAUUGCAUCACUACCAGAUGGACCUGCGUUGUAUUAGCUAGUUGGUGAGGUAACGGCUCACCAAGGCAAGGAUACAUAGCCGACCUGAGAGGGUGAUCGGCCACACUGGGACGGAGACACGGCCCAGACGCCUACGGGAGGCAGCAGUAGGGAAUCUUGGGCAAUGGGCGGAAGUCUGACCGAGCAACGCCGCGUGAGGGAAGAAGGUUGUCGGAUCGUAAAGCUCGGUUGUAAGAGAAGAACGAGUGUGAGAGUGGAAAGUUCACACUGUGACGGUAUCUUACCAGAAAGGGACGGCUAACUACGUG